rnacentral:tRNA from 1 species
GGCUCGAAUGGCAGAUAAAUGUAAUUGGUUUAGGUCCAAUUGAUGGGGGUUUUCCCCUUCGGGUU